AAUAGAUACCCAGGUAGUCCACCCGUAAACGUUGGGAACUAGUUGUGGGGUCCUUUCCACGGAUUCCGUGACGCAGCUAACGCAUUAAGUUCCCCGCCUGGGGAGUACGGCCGCAAGGCUAAAACUCAAAGGAAUUGACGGGGACCCGCACAAGCGGCGGAGCAUGCGGAUUAAUUCGAUGCAACGCGAAGAACCUUACCAAGGCUUGACAUACACCAGAACACCCUAGAAAUAGGGGACUCUUUGGACACUGGUGAACAGGUGGUGCAUGGUUGUCGUCAGCUCGUGUCGUGAGAUGUUGGGUUAAGUCCCGCAACGAGCGCAACCCUCGUUUUAUGUUGCCAGCACGUAAUGGUGGGAACUCAUGGGAUACUGCCGGGGUCAACUCGGAGGAAGGUGGGGAUGACGUCAAAUCAUCAUGCCCCUUAUGUCUUGGGCUUCACGCAUGCUACAAUGGCCGGUACAAAGGGCUGCAAUACCGUGAGGUGGAGCGAAUCCCAAAAAGCCGGUCCCAGUUCGGAUUGAGGUCUGCAACUCGACCUCAUG
rnacentral:rRNA from 1 species